GCUGGUGUAGCUUACGUAAAGCAUGACACUGAAGAUGUUAAGACAGACCCUAGAAAGUCUCGCCGGCA
rnacentral:tRNA from 1 species